rnacentral:rRNA from 1 species
UGAGCCUGCAUUUGAUUAGUUUGUUGGUAGGGUAAUGGCCUACCAAGACUGUGAUCAAUAGCUGAUUUGAGAGGAUGAUCAGCCACAUUGGGACUGAGACACGGCCCAAACUCCUACGGGAGGCAGCAGUGGGGAAUCUUGCACAAUGGAGGAAACUCUGAUGCAGCGAUGCCGCGUGAGUGAAGAAGGCCUUUGGGUUGUAAAGCUCUUUCGUCGGGGAAGAAAAUGACUGUACCCGAAUAAGAAGGUCCGGCUAACUUCGUGCCAGCAGCCGCGGUAAUACGAAGGGACCUAGCGUAGUUCGGAAUUACUGGGCUUAAAGAGUUCGUAGGUGGUUGAAAAAGUUGGUGGUGAAAUCCCAGAGCUUAACUCUGGAACUGCCAUCAAAACUUUUCAGCUAGAGUUUGAUAGAGGAAAGCAGAAUUUCUAGUGUAGAGGUGAAAUUCGUAGAUAUUAGAAAGAAUACCAAUUGCGAAGGCAGCUUUCUGGAUCAAUACUGACACUGAGGAACGAAAGCAUGGGUAGCGAAGAGGAUUAGAUACCCUCGUAGUCCAUGCCGUAAACGAUGUGUGUUAGACGUUGGAAAUUUAUUUUCAGUGUCGCAGCGAAAGCGAUAAACACACCGCCUGGGGAGUACGACCGCAAGGUUAAAACUCAAAUGAAUUGACGGGGACCCGCACAAGUAGUGGAGCAUGUGGUUUAAUUCGAAGAUACGCGCAGAACCUUACCAACACUUGACAUGUUCGUCGCGACUUUAAGAGAUUAAAGUUUUCGGUUCGGCCGGACGAAACACAGGUGCUGCAUGGCUGUCGUCAGCUCGUGUCGUGAGAUGUUGGGUUAAGUCCCGCAACGAGCGCAACCCUCACUUUUAGUUGCCAUCAUUAAGUUGGGCACUCUGAAAGAACUGCCAGUGAUAAGCUGGAGGAAGGUGGGGAUGACGUCAAGUCCUCAUGGCCCUUACGUGUUGGGCUACACACGUGCUACAAUGGUAUCUACAACAGGAAGCAAGACGGCGACGUUAAGCAAAUCCUUAAAAGAUACCUCAGUUCGGAUUGCACUCUGCAACUCGAGUGCAUGAAGCUGGAAUUACUAGUAAUCGUGGAUCAGCGUGCCACGGUGAAUGCGUUCCCGGGUCUUGUACACACCGCCCGUCACACCAUGGGAGUUGGUUCUACCUUAAGGCAAGGUUUAAAACCCUUGACCACGGUAUAGUCAGCGACUGGGGUGAAGUCGUAACAAGGUAGCCGUAGGGGAACCUGCGGCUG